rnacentral:rRNA from 1 species
AGCGAACGCUGGCGGCAGGCCUAACACAUGCAAGUCGAACGAACUCUUCGGAGUUAGUGGCGGACGGGUGAGUAACACGUGGGAACGUGCCUUUUGGUUCGGAAUAACUCAGGGAAACUUGUGCUAAUACCGAAUGUGCCCUUCGGGGGAAAGAUUUAUCGCCAUUAGAGCGGCCCGCGUCUGAUUAGCUAGUUGGUGAGGUAACGGCUCACCAAGGCGACGAUCAGUAGCUGGUCUGAGAGGAUGACCAGCCACACUGGGACUGAGACACGGCCCAGACUCCUACGGGAGGCAGCAGUGGGGAAUCUUGCGCAAUGGGCGAAAGCCUGACGCAGCCAUGCCGCGUGAAUGAUGAAGGUCUUAGGAUUGUAAAAUUCUUUCACCGGGGACGAUAUGACGGUACCCGGAGAAGAAGCCCCGGCUAACUUCGUG